UAAACCUUAAGUUAUAUAAACUAGAAAUCUUCCAAAUUUCCUAAAAGACUUCCUUAGGUUUAA
rnacentral:tRNA from 1 species